rnacentral:lncRNA from 1 species
GCCAAAGUCUCCAGAGCCGCUCGGAGAAAACGCUGCCUGGAACAGAAGAGCAGAGGAUCAGAGGCACCACCAGAGACUCUCAGAGUGGAGAAGAGUACCCAAGAAGGACAAGCUUGGAAUGGGGCCCCCUCCCCAGGCUGGAGAUCAGACAUUGUUGGAGAAGGUAUCAUUGCAGCCCCCUACAUAGCAGAGAGAUUUGCUGAGUUGCAUAGUCUAGAGCUGGUUGCAAUUAUUGGACAAGCAGGAAACAAACCUCCACAGCCCAUGCGAGCCACACUGCUGGGUUGAGUGUAUGAGCAUGUAGAAUGAUUGGGUCUCCAGUGCGGACAGAAGGCAUGGAUCGCGUGGUGCCUGUGUUGGGAGGAUACUAAGAGGGCGAUCACCAUGCCAGGACAAGACUAGUUGCCUGGGAUCUUCUGGGCACGUGACUGGAGCAGAGUACCACUGGAUCUCCUCACACCAGCCAGACCCAGGAAGAGAAGCUCCUUUCACCUGCACUGUUCUCUCAGCACCCUCCACGGAGAAAGCUUCAUGUUAUGCUUAGUGUACAGGAGAAAUGCUCAUGGGAAUCCUGUCCAUUAUCACAGAGCAGGUAUUAGUGGGUGAAUAUGGAGCUGAGAAGUAAUAAGUUGUAACUGGCAUAGAUAUCAUGGGGAUAUUUGAAGAACGCUGUGAACACAUAUGCAUGGGUCCAUGUAUUCAUGAGUGUGCACAUAUGUGUAAUUAUUCAUACAAUUCAUGGUGGAUACUACUUCGAGGGUGUUCACAGACCCCAGGCAGAGAGCGCCUGGAGGGAAAAUUAUCCAAGGCAGGCCCAUUCAUAGUUCCAGGACAGCCAGAAGAAAGCCUCCGUUAAGCACCAGAAGUCUCCGGGGCAGGUGGGGCCAGGCAGCAUGAAAGAAUUGGCCGCAAGAGUUCCAAACCCUGUCCCAAUUAUGGAGGGUGACUUUUCUUUGUCCUCCUUCUCCAUUCCCUUCCAUAUUGCUCAUGCAUCCAAAGGGAGACCUGAAGACUCUCUAGCAGGGCAAGGCCAUUUUCUUUUGGCAUUUUUCUCUCCCCAGAGUCUAGCUGAUUAUCAGCUUAGACACACAGCAGGCUAUGUGCUGUGAACAACAGGCAUCCUGGGUUAUUUUACAAACUCAUGGAUAGUCAUUUUGAAACCACCUUUGCAAAAUUGUGACUGAAACAGUGAAAGAGAGCUAACUUAACCAGCUCCAUCUUGUUUCUAACCUCCAAGCUGUCUUUGUUCAUUCCUGGGCGUAGGCUGAACUAACUUUGGGAGAAACUUAGUUUGUAGUUAUAGUUUAAACAAAGACUGUGACAGCCCUUUCCCAAUGCAGACCUCCUUCUUGUCUGGGGACUAGACUAACAUUAGCCACAGGAUUAGAAAUUACGGUUUAGGAGUCACGCAGCUGGAGGCUACAAGAUUCUGACCCUCCCUAAACUGCUUCUAAGAUCAGUGCUUGAGACAUGUUGCAGACCCCGCACUUGCUGGAUCAGCUGACGCCACACAGAUGGAUAAACUGCCUCGUCUGAUCUUGUGGCCCCCACCCGGGAACUGACGAAGCGCAAGAAGACAGCUUCGACUCCCUGUGAGUUCAUCCCUGACCAACCAGCACUCCUGGCUCACUGGCUUCCCCCUACCAAGUUAUGCUUAAAAAUUCUGCUCCCCGAAUUCUCGAGGAGACUGAUUUGAGUGAUAAUAAAACUCCAG